GGCGGCGGGCGCGCUGACCGUGCGGCCUUGCGGCCUUUGCAGGGAGAGCCAGGUGGAGCUCCGCGAGCAGAUCGACAACCUCGCCGCGGGUGAGUGGGCGGCCCGCGGACCCAGGCAGGACCUUCGGUUCCCCGUGCCCGGCCGGGUCUCUGCCCCUUGGCCCCAGGACGUCGGGGCCCUUGGGACAGGGAGUGAAAGGAAGUGGGGGAAGGACGGGACGAUUCCGCCUUCCUAAGAGCAGGAGGUGAGCUGCCAGACGUCUGUUGCUCUUCCGUCCCCAGAAUUGUGCCGCAUCAACGAGGACCAGAAGGUGGCCUUGGAUCUCGACCCCUACGUUAAGAAGCUGCUCAACGCCCGGCGACGGGUUGUUCUGGUCAACAACAUCCUACAGAAUGCCCAGGUAAACGAAGUCCCUGCUUCAAGUCCUCAACACAAUGAGUCACGACUUUUUAAAAAUUGGGGGGAAGGGAGUGGUCAACUAGCGUCAGUAAGACUCAGUGCUCAAUAUCCACUUGCAGCCAUUGACAUCCUACGUGAACUUUGACGCAGGACCGUCCUCAGGUGUUUCCAGCACCUGGCUGGCUGAACCCCAAAGCCUUUCACAGGGGCAGUCACUAGGUUCCACCUCUUCCUGUGUCCUGUAGGAGCGGCUGAGGCGGCUAAACCACAGCGUUGCCAAGGAAACAGCCCGCAGGAGGGCAAUGCUGGACUCGGGAGUUUAUCCCCCUGG
rnacentral:lncRNA from 1 species